CUUAAGCAGAAAACGAGGAGCGGUAGAAGCCCCAAGAAAAGACCAGGCACCCCCCAAACUCUUCAAGCUCUCUUUGACUCGAAGAGCAAAGUCACUGUGUGGUAUUGAAAACCGUUGCAAGGAACUCCUUACCAGUAUACUGUGCUGUUCUUUCAUCACGGAAGACGAAGGUGACCACUCCAGAGGAACUUCAUGCUUUGCAUUGUGCUUCUGAAGGACACAUCGAGGUGCAUGGCAUUGACCUUCUGCAACCGCAGCGAUGCCAGAGCCUCAAGCAGCAUUUGGCCAGUGUCCACAAGGCGUUCAAGCGAUAAACACAACAAGAAAUUUUCACAAUGCUAUGUCGAUUGUUUAAGUAUAGAGUUUUGGUUGUAAAAUUGCUGUUGCUUUAUGUUCUCUUCCCCGAUUCGGUGGCUUAGGUACAACUAAUAAAAUUUCGGUGCAGAGUCACCUCAUUUGUGUACAAUCAA